rfam:Streptomyces sp. SirexAA-E, complete genome.
CUUCAACGAACCCAGCCACAACGGCCGAUCCGAGGAGCGCCCCCGCCCAUACGUGGCCAGCAAAGCCUGCGCCUC